rnacentral:rRNA from 1 species
CUCGGGGCCGGAAGACCUGAGGGGUACGUCCGGGGUAGGAGUGAAAUUCUGUAAUCCUGGGGGGACCACCAGUGGCGAAAGCGUCUAGCUAGAACGGGUCUGACGGUGAGGGACGAAGCCCUGGGUAGCGUACCGGAUUAGAUACCCGGGUAGUCCAGGGUGUAAACGCUGCUUGCUUUAUGUUAGCCGGGCUACGAGCCCAGCUAGUGUCGGAGAGAAGUCGUUAAGCGUGCUGCCUGGGAAAUACGAUCGCAAGAUUGAAACUUAAAGGAAUUGGCGGGGGAGCACAGCAACGGGUGGAGCGUGCGGUUUAAUUGGACUCAACGCCGGGCAACUUACCAGGGGAGACAGCAGAAUGAAGGUCAGGUUGACGACCUUACCUAACAAGCUGAGAGGAGGUGCAUGGCCGUCGCCAGUUCGUGCUGUGAGGUAUCCUGUUAAGUCAGGCAACGAACGAGACCCACGCCUUUAUUUGCCAUCAAGAAGUCACGACUUUGUUGGGAACGAUAAAGGGACCGCCGUCGAUAAGACGGAGGAGGGAGCGGGCAAAGGCAGGUCAGUAUGCCCCGAAACCCCUGGGCUACACGCGGGCUGCAAUGGUGCGAACAAUGGGCUGUGACUCCGAGAGGAGAAACCAAUCCCUAAAUCGCAUCUCAGUUGGGAUUGUCAACUGUAACCCGUUGACAUGA